UACAGAGGGUGCGAGCGUUGUCCGGAAUCACUGGGCGUAAAGGGCGCGUAGGCGGCUCGGUAAGCGUGCGGUGAAAGCCCGGGGCUCAACCCCGGGUCGGCCGUGCGAACUGCAGAGCUGGAGCACUGUAGAGGCAGGUGGAAUUCCGGGUGUAGCGGUGGAAUGCGUAGAGAUCCGGAAGAACGACCGGUGGCGAAGGCGGCCUGCUGGGCAGUAGCUGACGCUGAGGCGCGACAGCGUGGGGAGCAAACAGG
rnacentral:rRNA from 1 species